GGGGCGCUAGCUCAGUUGGUAGAGCAGCGGACUCUUAAUCCGUAGGUCGACAGUUCGAAUCUGUCGCGCCCCA
rnacentral:tRNA from 1 species